rnacentral:rRNA from 1 species
AUUGAACGCUGGCGGCAGGCUUAACACAUGCAAGUCGAGCGAGCCGCGGACUUCUGAGUAAUGUCUUUGAAACUUCCUGAUGGAGGCCGAUAACUACUGGAAACGGUAGCUAAUCCCGCAUACCAUCAUCUCUGCCCAGAUGGGAUUCGCUUGUAGGUGGGGUAAUGGCUCACCUAGGCGACGCUCCCUAGCUGGUCUGAGAGGAUGACCGGCCACACUGGAACGGAGACACGGUCCGGACUCCUACGGGAGGCAGCAGUGGUGAAUAUUGCGCAAUGGGCGCAAGCCUGAUGCAGCCAUGCCGCGGGUGUGAAGAAGGCCUUCGGGUUGUAAAGCACUUUCAGCGAGGAGGCGGUACUCGAAGAAGAAGCACAGGCUAACUCCGUGCCAGCAGCCGCGGUAAUAG